AACAAACGCUGGCGGCGUGCCUAAUACAUGCAAGUCGAACGACGAAAGCUUUCGGGUGAGUACUAGUGGCGCACGGGUGAGGAAUACAUGGGUAAUCUGCCCUCGAGUUGGGGAUAACCAGUCGAAAGAUUGGCUAAUACCGAAUAAGACCACAGGAUCUGCGGAUCUAGGGGUUAAAGGUUUUUCGCUUGAGGAUGAGCCCAUGCGGGAUUAGCUAGUUGGUGAGGUAAUGGCUCACCAAGGCUACGAUCCCUAACUGGUCUUAGAGGAUGAUCAGUCACACUGGAACUGAGACACGGUCCAGACUCCUACGGGAGGCAGCAGUAGGGAAUAUUGCACAAUGGGGGAAACCCUGAUGCAGCGACGCCGCGUGAGUGAUGAAGGCCUUCGGGUCGUAAAGCUCUGUCGUAUGGGACUAACACAAUGAAGGUACCAUGCAAGAAAGGAUCGGCUAACUUCGUGCCAGCCGCCGCGGUAA
rnacentral:rRNA from 1 species